UUAUCCGGAAUUAUUGGGCGUAAAGGGCUCGUAGGCGGUUCGUCGCGUCCGGUGUGAAAGUCCAUCGCUUAACGGUGGAUCCGCGCCGGGUACGGGCGGGCUUGAGUGCGGUAGGGGAGACUGGAAUUCCCGGUGUAACGGCGGAAUGUGUAGAUAUCGGGAAGAACACCAAUGGCGAAGGCAGGUCUCUGGGCCGUCACUGACGCUGAGGAGCGAAAGCGUGGGGAGCGAACAGGAUUAGAUACCCUGGUAGUCCACGCCGUAAACGGUGGAUGCUGGAUGUGGGGACCAUUCCACGGUCUCCGUGUCGGAACCAACGCGUUAAGCAUCCCGCCUGGGGAGUACGGCCGCAAGGCUAAAACUCA
rnacentral:rRNA from 1 species